AUUGAACGCUGGCGGCAGGCCUAACACAUGCAAGUCGAGCGAGCGGCGGACGGGUGAGUAAUGUCUGGGAAACUGCAUGAUGGAGGGGGAAAAAUAAUGGAAACGGUAGAUAAUAACGCAUAACAUCACAUGUGCCCAGAUGGGGUUAGCUAGUAGGUGGGGGAACGGCUCACCGAGUCGAAGAUCCCUAGCUGGACUGAGAGGAUGACCAGCCACACUGGAACUGAGACACGGGCCAGACUCCGACGGGAGGCAGCAGUGGGGAAUAUUGCACAAUGGGCGCAAGCCUGAUGCAGCCAUGCCGCGUGUGUGAAGAAGGCCUUCGGGUUGUAAAGCACUUUCAGCGGGGAGGCGUUACCCGCAGAAGAAGCACCGGCUAACUCCGUGCCAGCAGCCGCGGUAAUAC
rnacentral:rRNA from 1 species